AUUGAACGCUGGCGGCAGGCCUAACACAUGCAAGUCGAGCGGAUGAAGGGAGCUUGCUCCUGGAUUCAGCGGCGGACGGGUGAGUAAUUCCUAGGAAUCUGCCUGGUAGUGGGGGAUAACGUCCGGAAACGGGCGCUAAUACCGCAUACGUCCUGAGGGAGAAAGGGGGGGAUCUUCGGACCUCACGCUAUCAGAUGAGCCUAGGUCGGAUUAGCUAGUUGGUGGGGUAAAGGCCUACCAAGGCGACGAUCCGUAACUGGUCUGAGAGGAUGAUCAGUCACACUGGAACUGAGACACGGUCCAGACUCCUACGGGAGGCAGCAGUGGGGAAUAUUGGACAAUGGGCGAAAGCCUGAUCCAGCCAUGCCGCGUGUGUGAAGAAGGUCUUCGGAUUGUAAAGCACUUUAAGUUGGGAGGAAGGGCAGUAAGUUAAUACCUUGCUGUUUUGACGUUACCAAAAGAAUAAGCACCGGCUAACUUCGUG
rnacentral:rRNA from 1 species